rnacentral:lncRNA from 1 species
AUGAGGAAAGUGAGCCCCAGGGAAGUGAAGAAACUAGAUCAAGAUAACAUGGAACGAAGAUUUGGACUUGGCCUCCCCAGGCCUAGCACAGGCCUCUUUCUUAUUGAAUUGCUUGUUUUUCUUGUUGGUGGGAAAGAGAUUUGGAGAAUUAUGUUGGUGGCCCUUAAAUCACACCAAGCCAGCAUCUGUCUGUGUCCAAGGAGGCAGGCAGUGAGUCUUGUGUGUGUACAUUUGCCCACCUUCAGAACCUUUGGCUCGUGCCUUUACCAGCACUGUUUUCUACUCAUUCUAGCAGACAGAUUGGCCUCUUUCCCAACCUGGGUCUUCAGCAGAGUGGUUCAUGAAGGGUUUGUUCAGAAUCCUGAUUCCAGGUAUAAUCUGCAUGAACCUCAUGGAGAAGGAGCCCCUUCUCAGAAGGUUCUAUGCUUGAAGAAGUUUAAGAAUACUUAUGGUAUCCUGAUCUGAGUCCUGAGGCAGGGCUACUGAACUGAGCCAUCCCCACAUACUAAUAAGCAACUUCUUGCACAGCUCUAAUUUGUCCAGACGUAAGAAAGCUACCAACACAAUAUUCACUUGAAAAUGACAACUUUGCAAUAGUAGUUCUACCUACUCCUAACAAGCGGAAGAAUUCUUGCACAGACAUUCUUAUAUGCACUUAAACAUUGGCCGCUAAGGGGCUCCGGUCUGUUCAACUCUUGGUUCCUUAGAUAUUUUAAAAUAUCUCCCCCCAACUACAACUUAGAUUCCCAUUCACAGAAAGGACAUGAUCAUUAAAAUUAGGAUCUGUGAAAUCAUUUCUUAUCUGAAGAAAAUACUAUAUUCCAACAUGAUGGAGAAGUUAUCUUUUCUGGAUUUUUCAACACAGAGGACAUUUGUGUUCUGUGAGUUUAAUGUUUCAUUUAGAUCUUAAGAAUGAAAAACACUACAAUUGCUGUACCUUUCUUUCGUUACUUUGGACAGGAUUUAAAUAAGGGACUCUUGAUUUUGAUAGAGAGCAGUUGUUGUUUCAUUAAAAAAGAAAAAAUAAUGUACAAAUCUACUUAAUGUAUCAGAGAAGUUGAUGGAACUUCUUAAUAGUCUGAGAAACAAUUACAGUUUACAUAUUAUAGAACUGUAGAUUUGGAAGGGAAUUCAUUAGCUCACUCUUUGGGUGUGGCCAAACUUACUCAUGUCUGGCUACUUUCCUAAGUUUCUUCUCAAAAUGGAAUGUACAUUUGGAGAAAAGAGACAAAACAAGAGCAUGUAAAAACAUAGCAAAUGCCAAAUUUGUGUAUUAUAUUUAUAUAUAAUAUAUGUUAUAUAUUAUAUUUAUAUAUAAUAUAUGUUAUAUAUUAUAUUUAUAUAUAAUAUAUGUUAUAUAUUAUAUUUACACUUUUUCCCUUCAUGAAGUCAAUUAUACCUUUUUUUUACUCUUCAUACAACUUUUAAAACACUGUGAGAUUGAAGCCAGUUUAAAUCUGAAAUACUAUAGAAUAUUAAUGACUGCAGCCUGACUAGCCAUUUUGUUAAAGCAAUUUAAAUGACAUUAGAAGUAGUAAAAACAACAUUGAUACUAUAAAUAACCAAAAUUAGUGAGAUAAAAGAUAGUAUUGAGAAAAAUCCAAAAAUGACUGAGGAAAAGGACUGAAUUGCAAGAGAUUAGAAAUGACAUCAUGGCUAUGAAGAAUAGUCGAUGGAGAUUUAAUAUACAGAAAAUAGCAAUUUAUGGACAAGAAAAGAGAAAAAAUAAAACAUUUAAUGAUAUAAUAUAAGAAAACUUUCCUAGAAUGAAGGACAAUCUGAAUCUGCAGAUCAAAAGGGAUUAUUGUAACCUGGAAAAACUUAAUAAAUAACAACCCACAUCAAAGUACAUUCUGGUGAUGUUAAAUAACAUCAAAGAAAAAAAGGAAAUGAAGUAAUUUCUGUAAUCAUCCAACAAUAGAAACAGAAGCAGAUCACUAUUUAUUUUAUUUUUAUCCUUACCUCCAUAAAAAUCAGCCCACAAAAACAAAAACAGGUCAACAGUUCAGCCUGAUCUCAAGUACUUCAGGAACAUUUUCUGAUGAAAGACAAUGGAAUAACAUCUAAAGAAGGCAGAGGGGAAAGAGUGUCACUCAGCCAAGAUGUCUUUCUCAUGUAAGGGAAAUACUAAAAUAUUCACAGGAAUGAAAUUAUUCAUGUACCCGUCCUGGAAACUUUUGAGAAACAUAAUUUAACCAAUUAGAAUAAAUAUAAUAACAAUAAUGUAAAAAGAAAGAAAACUGACUUUAUAAGUGAAAUAAACUGGGCAAUAAUUUUAAUUAGGGGCAAUAAUUUUAAUUGAUAGUAUAGAGAAAUUUCUUCUUAUACUGACACCUGAAAUAAAUAUUUAUAAAGGCAGGACUAAACUGAUGAUAAAGUAGGAAAACAGUUGGAGGCCAGAGACAGAAGAAAGGGUGAUUCCACAGGUAGAAGUGAACUCUGAUCUGUGUUUGCCUUGUGCAAUAUCCCCUUAUACUGAUUCCUAAUGGAUUUUGUCUAGAUUAUAAUGGGCCAAAUAUUCUCAAGGGGCAGGAGCAGGAACUGGAGCUUAAUCUGGGAGAGGGUGGAUUGAAUACCUUCUCAUGAAUUUAGAACUCCUAAAAGGUGUCAUCUUCAGUGAGUAAAAGACCAAUGAGGCAAAAAAAAAAAAAGACUACUCAGAAGCAAUGGGGGAAACUGGUUGUCUUUACAAAGGAUAAACAAAUUUUAAACGUCUUUCUCUGUAUAUCUUACACAAAAAUCAAUUUCAGAUGCAUUCAUGACUUAAAAAUGGAAAGUCCAAAUUUAAGCCUUCUAGAAAACAUGGGAAAUAUCUUUCUUUAGGAUUUCAAUGUAGGGAAAGAUUUCCUAUGCAAGACACCAAAAGCAACUAAACAUAAAGGAAAAGAUUAUUAUAUUUGACAAUAUUAAAAUAAAUAACUUCAGCUUAUUAGAAGAAAUUUUAUUUUCUCUAGAAAACAAGAGUCAUAAAGAGGAAGAAGACAUUCGUCACACAUAUGACCAAAGGGUUAGUCUCAGACUACAAAAAGAACUCCUUUGAAUCAUUAAGAGAUAAAUAAACUAAUAGAAAAAUGGGCAAUUGUCAUGAACAGUCAUUUUCUAGAGGAGGAAACAAACAGCCAAUAAAUAUAUAAAAUAUUAUUGCUCUUAUGUGUCAAGACAGUGUAAAUAAAAACUACAAUACCAUCUUUUUAUAUUAGAUUAACGAAAGUUUAAAAGUCAGUUAAUACCAAGUGUUGGCAAGAAAGCAACAGGAGCUUUUGAAGGCUGCUUGUGAGAGUGUAAAUUGGUAUAAUCACUUUGUAAAACAAUCCAGCACUAACUGAUAAAGUUGAACAUGUGCGUAUUGUAUGACCCAGGAAUUUAUCUUCUAUGUAUAAAUCUUAGAGAAACUUUUACAUGUGAACCAGGGCAUGUUCAGAAAAGCAUUAUCCCUACUAGAAAAAUCUUAAAAUAAUACAAAUAUCCAUCAACAAUGAAUUGGAUUAAAAAACUUCAGGGUACACAAAUACUAUACCAUUAUAUAGCAGUAAAAAUAAGUGAACAUGCUAUACUCUAUCUGUAUAUGUAAACACACAUGAUGCUGAACCGCAGAGGGUAGUUACAAAAAUAUAGAAUGAUUUCAUUCAGAAAUGUUGAAAUAAGGCAAAUGAAGUGAUAUAUUUUUUGGAGAAAGUGGUAAAACUAUGAAGAAAAGCAAGGGAAGGCUUAUUGGUAUUUCAGUGUAGGAUACCAGUGAGGGCACAGAAGUGGACAGAUCAGAAAGGAGCACAUGGCCCUCUGCAUGGAUCAGAGCACAGUGUGAGGGACAUGGGUGUCAUUUUUAUUCUUCAUUAAGUGGUGAAAAUACACUGUGUGCACUUUUAGUACAUAUGAUUUUAAAAUAAUAAACAUUUUAAGAAGUUAAAUGGAAAACUGUAAUAAAUUUGGUGAAAAGUGAUUUUGUUGUAAUAGGUUGACAAAAGUACAGGUGUACAUCAAGAAAAAUAAUUUAGGGUAAAAAUAUUAAUAAAAGCAAAGUAAAUGAUUUUAUAUGUUGGCUCAAAUACAAAACUAAGACAACAAUUAUAAAGAGAACACCUAGGAACCAAAAAGAAGCAGUUAAAAAAAAAGGAUGAAAAACCCAGGAACAGACUCAAGCACACUUAGAUAUCCAACACGUAAGAGCAAUAAUAGCUCUUAUUUUGAUCAUAUUUACUAAGUAUAUUGCUACUUGAACUUAAAUUAAAUUUUGAUUUAAAUGUAGGAUGAAGCCAUAAAUUUAUGAUUUAUAAUGCAGCUUAAAUGUCACUUCCUACAGGAAGUUUUCUUUGAUGUCCCUGGAAGUCCAUAAAUGCCUCUGCCAUGGGCUUCCAUAGCAGCCUAUAUAUUCCCCAUUACUACAGGUGACAUUCUUUAUAGCAAUUCUGUGUUCAAAUCCAUCCCACCCUACCCCUCUAGAAGACUCUGUGCUCAAUGAAGAUAUGAUAUUAUUUUUGUUUUUGUUUUCUGAGACAGGGUCUCACCCUGUAGCCCAGGCUGGAGUGCAGUGGUGUGAUCACAGCUUACUGUAGCUUCCAACUCCUGGGAUUCAGCCAUCCUCCUGCCUCAGACUCUCAAGGAGCUAGGGCUACAGGUACAUACCACCAUGCCCAGUGAAUUUUUUUUGUCAUUUUUGCAGAGACAGAGUCUCACUAUUUAGCCUAUGCUGGUCUCAAACUUCUGGGCCUCAAGCAAUCCUCCUAUCUGUGCCUCCUGAGUUGCUGAGAUGACUGGUAUGAGCCAUUGCACCCAGCCCCCUAUUUUAUCAUACGCACCAGCAAAGUGAACAGUGCCUGGCCCAGAGUAGGUGUUCAGUAAACAUAUACUAAAUUCACAUAUAAAUAAUCAAAGAAAUGGAUAUAGAUUUGAUACGGGGCAGGUCUAUGAAAUAGUAUAUGAAAGCAGAAGCCAUAGCAGCAUAUAAUGGAAUACUUGACUACAUCAAACAAAAAGCACAAUAAUUCUAUACCCAGAGAAAAGGCAAAUGGCAAAAUCGAGAAAAUGUAUGGUAUUGAGGCAGAAGAACACGGAAUUAGGGGAACCAAGGGUUAAGGUAUAAGCAAGAGAAUAGCAGGUGCAGCUCGUUUUAGGCAAGAUUAGGCAGUAAACAGACCACAUCUUCACUCCUGUGACAACAAGACAGAAGUCUCCACUUCAGCCUCAGACUGGUCAUAGGUCAAUGCUUCAUAGAGUGUAACCAGUUGGAGGCCUUCUAAAGGGCACCUAGGAGUGUUACCAAGUUUUCUUAGCUUAAUAAAAACCCUAAAGAACAUUGCAAUGGGGGGUGCAGCUUUUGAGCCACUUGCUGGAGCCUGCUCCCACUCUAUGGAGUGUACGUUUGCUUCAAUAAAUCUGUGCUUUUGUGGCUUUGUUCUUUUG